AUGCUAGUUUGUUUGGCUAGCUAUAUAAUACCAGAUAGCUUCAUGUUACCUAAGAUAACUAGUUAGCUAGCCCACCUUUUUCUCAGUGCUGUGUUGAUAGCUGGCUGGCUCAGCUUAAAUUAGAUGAGUAAACUAUUCUAUUGUGUAAUUAAAUUUAGCAUGAUCUGCAUAGCUGUGAAAAAGAAAGGGAAAAAUCAGGACUAUACCUACAUCCAAACUGUGGUAAUCAAUUCACAUAUUUAGUUUGACAACAUAGCUAGCAACAAAGCUAGCUGUAGUCUAGAGAGAUUAUUUAGUCAACACUAGAUCUUUCUAUUUUAACGGGGAUGGAUUCUUCACUCUGCUAAACGUAGAUACGCCACCCGACAGCGCUAUCCUUUACUAGCGCUAUCCAUUGAUGUCACUGCUAAUGUCAGAGUGCGAUUAGAGGCCCGUUAGAUAUGACUUCUCACGCUAUUAUCGAUACUGCUUUCAGCCACUCCUACAACACUGUACUGGAGUUCUACCACCGGUCUUGUUCAACUGUCGUAUUCGUUCGUAUUAGUGUUUGAUAAACGAUGGAAUAUAACGCAACAGUUCUCGGUCCAACCGUACAGACUCAAACACACACAGAAACAUAGAUGUGUUCACAUCUAUCCAUUUUAUACAGCCACGUCAAUGAUGACAUCACAUCCUGACAGCACGUGAGAAGGGAUGGAAUUAACAUAACUAGCAUUCGCCCUCCUCCUGCAGCACACAAAGAGGGAGGAGGGCAAGAAGGGGCACUUUAGUGAGGCUUUACACUUAUAGCAGCAGGAACAACACAUACACACACACACACACAUACACAUACACACCUAAAGUAACAGUCUGAAAUUGAGAGAAUGAAAGAGAGAGUUGAAUGACAGGAUGAAGAAAGGCAUGUGGUGAGGGCAGAAGUCUAGGGCAAAAGGCUACAGCAAGCAUCCAUGGACCAAAGUCUGGGAUCAGCAUCUAGGGCAAAAGUCUGAAGCAAACGUCCAACGGCAAAGGGCCAAGCCAAAUGUCUAAAGGAAAAAGUCCAGGGCAAAGCUGUAGGGCACAAGCUGAGAGAGCGGCUAUGGCAAAAAACAAUGGGUGGAGCUAGUGCAAAAAAAAAAUCUAGGAUAAAUACCCAGGGGAAAAGCAUAGGGCACGAGUCCUGGGCAAAAGGCUAGAACAAACACCAGGGGUAAAGGACUGGAACAAAUAUUUCAGCCAAAGGUCCAAGG
ensembl:lncRNA